rnacentral:rRNA from 1 species
AUUGAACGCUGGCGGCAGGCCUAACACAUGCAAGUCGAGCGGAUGAAGGGAGCUUGCUCCUGGAUUCAGCGGCGGACGGGUGAGUAAUGCCUAGGAAUCUGCCUGGUAGUGGGGGAUAACGUCCGGAAACGGGCGCUAAUACCGCAUACGUCCUGAGGGAGAAAGUGGGGGAUCUUCGGACCUCACGCUAUCAGAUGAGCCUAGGUCGGAUUAGCUAGUUGGUGGGGUAAAGGCCUACCAAGGCGACGAUCCGUAACUGGUCUGAGAGGAUGAUCAGUCACACUGGAAGUGGGACACGGUCCAGACUCCUACGGGAGGCAGCAGUGGGGAAUAUUGGACAAUGGGCGAAAGCCUGAUCCAGCCAUGCCGCGUGUGUGAAGAAGGUCUUCGGAUUGUAAAGCACUUUAAGUUGGGAGGAAGGGCAGUAAGUUAAUACCUUGCUGUUUUGACGUUACCAACAGAAUAAGCACCGGCUAACUUCGUG